rnacentral:rRNA from 1 species
UACGAAGGGGGCUAGCGUUGCUCGGAAUCACUGGGCGUAAAGGGUGCGUAGGCGGCGCGGUAAGUCGGGUGUGAAAUCUCGGGGCUUAACUCCGAAACUGCAUUCGAUACUGCCGUGCUUGAGGACUGGAGAGGAGACUGGAAUUUACGGUGUAGCGGUGAAAUGCGUAGAUAUCGGGAGGAACACCAGCGGCGAAGGCGGCGCUCUGGGCCGGUACUGACACUGAGGAGCGAAAGCGUGGGGAGCAAACAGG